rnacentral:tRNA from 1 species
GUCAGAUUGGCCGAAUGGUCUAAGGUGCCAGACUUAAGUUCUGGUCCUCUAGUGAAGGCGUGGGUUCGAACCCCAUUAUUAUUUUGUAACA